rnacentral:rRNA from 1 species
UAGAGUUUGAUCAUGGCUCAGAUUGAACGCUGGCGGCAGGCCUAACACAUGCAAGUCGAGCGGCAGCGGGAAAGUAGCUUGCUACUUUUGCCGGCGAGCGGCGGACGGGUGAGUAAUGCCUGGGGAUCUGCCCAGUCGAGGGGGAUAACAGUUGGAAACGACUGCUAAUACCGCAUACGCCCUACGGGGGAAAGGAGGGGACCUUCGGGCCUUUCGCGAUUGGAUGAACCCAGGUGGGAUUAGCUAGUUGGUGGGGUAAUGGCUCACCAAGGCGACGAUCCCUAGCUGGUCUGAGAGGAUGAUCAGCCACACUGGAACUGAGACACGGUCCAGACUCCUACGGGAGGCAGCAGUGGGGAAUAUUGCACAAUGGGGGAAACCCUGAUGCAGCCAUGCCGCGUGUGUGAAGAAGGCCUUCGGGUUGUAAAGCACUUUCAGCGAGGAGGAAAAGGUUGAUGCCUAAUACGUAUCAAGCUGUGACGUA